GCUCGCCGGGUUGACCGUGCUCCUGCAGAGACAGGUUCUACGGAGUGGCCCCAACUCGGAUGCCUCUAGCUCCCUCCCGAUCUCCACACCAACUCAGACCGAGGUCUAUGGGAGGUUUGUUUGAUUUUCUUCACUUGGAUGCAUAGUUUCACUGUACAGCGAGCAGACUGGAUUUCAAUUCCCUGAGAUGCUCCUGCCUCGGCCCCCUGAAAGCGGAACUCACAGAUGAGCGUCACCACGCGGGAACCUAUUUGCUGUUUUGAAGGUGUGACACAGUGAUUUAGUUCCUUACCCCGUUCUGCUGCGACGUCCUCAUUCUAAAUGGGUCAGCAGUCUGAAAAGGACACGGCUGUUGAGGGGCACAGCCCCAACCCCAGCUCAGAUCCCCAAACUAUCCACGAUGACACGAAGGCUUGGAGGACGCUCACUAAUGAUUCUAAUCUCCGGAGGGUGCUAGGGGCUUCACCUGCGGCCGUGGACCAUCUCUUCGGGUAGUGUGCGUGCACUGUAGGAGUUGUGCACUUUGCCCAACCCUUCUCUGCCGCAUUUGAAACUACUUUGGGUGCAUUCUGCUGCUACUUUUUCUGUGAGACUUCUCGCUGCUGUUGAAAAAGUAAAAAAGAAGGAAAGUAGGAGGGAUCAAGUUUUCAUUUCGAGGUUCUGAACGUUCUAUUUGACCCUGUCUUCUCUGGGAAUCGUGAAAAGUUUCUUGCAGCCUUCAGAAUGCAGAACUCUAACUAAGCCCAUCCUCCAGCAGCAAGUCGGCCCUGAUUCAGUCUUGCUACUCUCCAUGACAAUAAUGGAUUAAACCUCUGAAAGCGUAAGCCAGACCCAAUGAGAUGUUUUCCUUUAGAAGAGCUGCCGAAUGGAGUCUCUUCAUGGCAAUAAAACCCCUGAGACAAGA
rnacentral:lncRNA from 1 species